GGCGAACCGGGGGAACUGAAACAUCUAAGUACCCCGAGGAAAAGAAAUCAACCGAGAUUCCCCCAGUAGCGGCGAGCGAACGGGGAGGAGCCCAGAGCCUGAAUCAGUGUGUGUGUUAGUGGAAGCGUCUGGAAAGGCGCGCGAUACAGGGUGACAGCCCCGUACACAAAAAUGCACAUGCUGUGAGCUCGAUGAGUAGGGCGGGACACGUGGUAUCCUGUCUGAAUAUGGGGGGACCAUCCUCCAAGGCUAAAUACUCCUGACUGACCGAUAGUGAACCAGUACCGUGAGGGAAAGGCGAAAAGAACCCCGGCGAGGGGAGUGAAAAAGAACCUGAAACCGUGUACGUACAAGCAGUGGGAGCACGCUUAGGCGUGUGACUGCGUACCUUUUGUAUAAUGGGUCAGCGACUUAUAUUCUGUAGCAAGGUUAACCGAAUAGGGGAGCCGAAGGGAAACCGAGUCUUAACUGGGCGUUAAGUUGCAGGGUAUAGACCCGAAACCCGGUGAUCUAGCCAUGGGCAGGUUGAAGGUUGGGUAACACUAACUGGAGGACCGAACCGACUAAUGUUGAAAAAUUAGCGGAUGACUUGUGGCUGGGGGUGAAAGGCCAAUCAAACCGGGAGAUAGCUGGUUCUCCCCGAAAGCU
rnacentral:rRNA from 1 species